rnacentral:rRNA from 1 species
CACGUAGGGGCCAAGCGUUGUCCGGAUUUAUUGGGCGUAAAGAGCUCGUAGGCGGUUCGACAAGUCGGGUGUGAAAACUCCGGGCUCAACCCGGAGACGCCACCCGAUACUGUCGUGACUGGAGUCCGGUAGGGGAGUGGGGAAUUCCUGGUGUAGCGGUGAAAUGCGCAGAUAUCAGGAGGAACACCGGUGGCGAAGGCGGUUCUCUGGGCAUGUCCUGACGCUGAGGAGCGAAAGUGUGGGGAGCGAACAGG